CUUGAGAGUUUGAUCCUGGCUCAGAACGAACGCUGGCGGCAGGCUUAACACAUGCAAGUCGAGCGGUAACAGGGGGUGCUUGCACCCCGCUGACGAGCGGCGGACGGGUGAGUAAUGCAUAGGAAACUGCCCAGUAGUGGGGGAUAGCCCGGGGAAACCCGGAUUAAUACCGCGUACGCCCUUCGGGGGAAAGCAGGGGAUCUUCGGACCUUGCGCUAUUGGAUGUGCCUAUGUCGGAUUAGCUAGUUGGUGGGGUAAAGGCCUACCAAGGCGACGAUCCAUAGCUGGUCUGAGAGGAUGAUCAGCCACACUGGGACUGAGACACGGCCCAGACUCCUACGGGAGGCAGCAGUAGGGAAUAUUGGUCAAUGGGCGAGAGCCUGACCCAGCCAUGCCGCGUGCAGGAUGACGGCCUUCUGGGUUGUAAACUGCUUUUCUACAGGAAGAAAAUGCCCUUGCGAGGGAAAUUGCCGGUAUUGUAGGAAUAAGCACCGGCUAACUCCGUGCCAGCAGCCGCGGUAAUAC
rnacentral:rRNA from 13 species